rnacentral:lncRNA from 1 species
GAUCAUGUACUUGAAUAAACAAUCACGUAGGCCUGCCGUGAAGGCUUUGAGGGCAGUCUUGUCGUCUGCCUCAGCAUAACGGGAAUACUCAUGGCUGAAGCGGCCAGUAUACAUACGUAAUGACUUGUCUGGCUUCUGGUGAAUAGUGUACAAGUCAUCCGCAGAGUGCAAGCGAUCGGUCUAGAAAAUGUGUUAAGAAACAAACAGUUUCCUCAAUUCCUCAAAUGAGUCUACUGUCUCAGGUGGAAGACAACAAUACCAGUUUAAAGCUUCGCCAGAGAGGGUGGAGGGGAAGAGAAGACAUCGCUCUUCGUCGGUGUGCAUCCGGUAUGCCAUGGUGGACUCAAAGAGGUUCAUGUGUUCAAUCGAGUCCCCAUUUCCAGUAUAAAGUUGCAAGCCAAGCUUCUGCUUUGUCUUUGCUUGAAGGGGGUGUUAAGGAUCCUCCUUGUAAGAGGGUCAGGCCUAGGUUGGUUCCAAUCAGGUAUCUUAGCUUGUCGUUCAGCUUUCAACUUGUUUACUUCCUUAAAGAGUUGUAGGACAAGAGGGUCCUGAGUGGAGUCAUGUACCACUAGAGAUUUCUUUCGUAAAUCUCCAUCUACUCUUGGAAGUAGGAAGGUUUGAUUAAGAGCAUGUGAUUUUUCCCUGGACUCGCCGUACUGACUUCCAAUGUAUGUCUGUCGGAACAUCUCUAAGUCCCCUAUACCUUCGUGUUUCUCUAGGACUUGUUGCCCCUUCCCCAAAUUAGUAGCCCGUCUGGGACAUGUGAGGGGACCGAGUCUUUCAGAUACCUUUGGGUCAUUGAUCUUCGAGUUUACAUGGAUGGGAUUGUCUCGACGUUGCUUUAUGAAGUCUCGACAGUCGCGAAAGAUGACUUUCGAUCCUUCCACUCCUUCUGUAAGGAGGUAUCUUCCUCCACUCCUUCUGCUUCGAGUCGAAGCAGCUGAGUUGAAAGAAGUCUCAUGUUAGUCGCCAUUUCGAUGAGUAGCUCGCUCCUCAACAGGAAUAUCCAGGUCGAGGGCAAAUGACCCUCCGUGUUGAGGGGCACCCAGUUGAUGGUUGACUUCCACAAGGGUGAUGAGCUCGUGUGUUUAGUAUAUCUAGCCUCGUGGAGCAUCUCGAAGACUUUCUUAUACUGCUCUUGGAGGAUCUCAUUCUUCAUCGUUAUCUUGUUGUUCUGAGUCUCAAGCUCAUCGACUUUAGCCUAAAGAGCAAACUUCUUUUGUUCAUUCUUUCGUUGCUUCGCACCAUGUGCAAGAGGGAUGUCAUUCUGCGUGUUAUGGCUUCCUUCGCUCCCCAUAUUGGAAAGGGAUGCCUAGUCAAAAGAGUGUGUACGAAUGGUGGAAACCAGCUUAACAAAGCUGAAGAGAGUGGGAAUAAGUGUCGUUCCCACAAACGGCGCCAAAUGUUGAUGCACAAAAUCGGUGAGGACUUUGGUACAACAGAAAGUGUUAAGUUUGUGACCUUCGCUAGAUUGCUCCGGUCACUAGUGUGGAUAAGUAUGUAAAUGGAUAGGGAUAGGGAAGCAAACACAAGAUGUACGUGGUUCACCCAGAUUGGCUACGUCCACGGAGUAGAGGAGUUCUCAUUAAUUGUGAAGGGUUUACAUAAGUACAUAGGUUCAAGCUCUCCUUUAGUGAGUACUAGUGAAUGAUUUAGUACAAAUGACAUUAGGAAAUAUUGUGAGAGAAUGAUCUCUAUUUAUAAAAGAGAGUUUCUAGUUUCAUUCUAACAUUGACACGUGUCGUGCUGUGAUUGGCCUCUGAUGUCGACACGUGUCGUGUUAUGAUUGGCCUCUAAUGUUGACAUGUGUCGCGUUGCGAUUGGCCUCUUGGUUGGAGAGACUCUUGUGGGUCAUUGACGGUAUAAUGUUGACCGGUGCUUAGUAGUUUCGGGGUUGGUCAAGUAUGGUACAAACACUUGCGACAAUUAGAGAUCAAAUCGAGCAAUUUGGAGCAGCUUUAGACUUGGACUCGAUAGCAUGCGUGGAUAGCAUAUGGGUUGGACGUUUUUGGUGUUUUAGGUGUUAAAUGUGUGCUAAAUUCUGGAGAAAUUAUAGUUGAGGCUAGGAAGACAAGGAAUUGCACAAGAAAGAGGAAUCCCAGUUGGACUGAAACAUUAUCUUAUCAUAUUUUAUCUCCAGUUGCAAUGAAGAAUCAUAAUCACAUUCCAACACUCAAAACGCCUAAUCCUUUUCCCCUUGGAUUCUGCCCCAUAUAUAUAUAGUCCUGCAUCGUUUUAGAAGUGUGUCUUGCCUACCAUUCAUCCGUUGAAGUUUCUAGAGUUUUCAGAGGUCUUUCUUUGUUUUAAGUUUCAAUGUUUAUUUUAGAUUUCUUUUCAAUUAUGAUGAACAUGUGUAACUAAUUUUCUUUUUAACUAGAUGUGAAUUUGAAGUCAUGAUCAUAUGUUUUAUAUAAAUUGAUUACAUCCAGUUAUUAUUUCAUAAAACAUGAAUGCGAUUUACUUAUCUGCCUUAAAGAUAACUUAUUCUUGUAUGUUUAUUAAGGAUGCAUACUUAAUUUGCAUACAGGGAUUUGAUGCUAGUAUAUAAGGGAAUUUCACCUAAUCAUUAUGAACUUAUAUUUAUAAGUAGUAAAAGUCACUAGUCAUGAUUGAGUUAAGUAAAUUCUUGACAGGAGUAUCAUGUAUUUCAUAGUUAUGAAUGUUUCAUCAAUGCUUAUGAUUUUCAUAGAACUUGAUGAUAUUUGAGAUGUAUCUUUGUCAUGAUUUUCAUAGUUAGGGAACUUGAGAAGAAUAAUUUGGUUACGUUGCUAAGUCCAAUUCAAUGAACUAGGAAAAUCUGUGAGUUAAUUAAUGUUGUUCACGAUUAAUUUGCGGCAUUGUCAUUCAUGGUUUAUAAGAAUAACAACUGGAAAUCAAUUUGUAUGCAUAUGUUUUAUUAUGUGUGUAGAAGAAUCAUUUAACUAUCAUUUUAUCCAUAUUUCGUUCACAACUUAAUUUAUUUGCUGUCAUUUACUUUUGUUUUAAUUAAAUUAGUCCAAAAUUCCUCAAUCUCUGUUUUGUUAUCAAUUUUUAACUUAGUUUUUAGUUUUAUAAGUUUAAUUUGUAUUGAUUAGCAUUCCUUAUAAUUCUUGGAAGAAAACAAUCCCUACUUACUACAAUUGCAUAAUCUACAAAGUUUAAUUUGUGUGUUAAUUUCUACCACAUCAUUAAUGUCAAUUUUUUUAUAUUUAAAAUUUAAUUUUAGAAAAUUCUUAAUGCCUUUUUUUAAAUAUAUUUUUACUUUUUCUUGUCCGAGUCUUAUCAAUGAAAUUGGAAGAGGGGGAAUUUUUUUGGGUCGGAAAGUAACAUUCAUUAAGCAUAAGAAAGGGUUCACGAGGCCAUCCAAAGGAAAGCAAAGCAACCAAUAACACAUUUGGAAAUUCAAAUACACAAAAGCUCAGCCCAAUAAGCAAACAAACAAAAACAAAAACUUUAAUUCCGAUCCUCCAAACGCAAAACACAACCGUCGCUGCCGUCACUAACGUCUUGCCAGCAGCCACUAAAGGCCAAAACACUAGAGAAAACAAUCUAGUGGUGAGUUCAAUCAAGACAUUCCAACACAAAAAUUACAAAACCGCAACCAAAAGCACACCACAACCAGAUUUGGUUAUCGGAGAUGCCGAACCAAUAGAUAGCCAUCGGAUCCAAAUCACGUUCACCAACUCCUGCAAAUAUAAUCAAACACAGUAGCAAAUGGAGGGUGAGCCAAAGGGGUAUGUAAAAUCCCUUUACUUUGGCCGAAGCUGCAAAAAGCUUGCCCCUGAGAGAAUUCCAACAUACCAAUCGGUGGAGGGUCACUAAGGAAGGAAAAUGGAUAUGGCAUCCAUUUCAGCCAAAGCUCACAAAUCUCAGCAUACAUUGGGCUAGGGACGGAUUAUGAGGAAGGAAGAGGGAAAGGGUGGGGGAGAUGAAGGCUUGGGUAUGAAAAGGCAAUGUAAGAGGAGAGAGGGUGGGGGAAAGCUAAAUAUCAUAAGGCAGUAAAAAUUAACGGUAUAGGUCAGAGAAGCGGCGAUGAACACCGAGGACGCAUCACACCGACUCUCAAAAUGGCAACCCGAGGAGACAAUUGAGGGUGAGCAUGAGAAGGUGGGAGAGCUUUCUGGGCAGUGCCGCCUGCUUCGGUCAUUUGACCAACACUCCUUCAAAACAUAUAACUUGUUCUUCACUCUCCAUGGCAAGAAAGGAAAGGAGAGACAAUUACAAAUCUCAAUUACACUUGACCCGUGGGAUUACAAAUCUCAAAUCAGAGGAAUUCGCAUUGACAGUCAAGGGAGUUACCAUCUUCACAAUUACAGACGACCCACGGAUCAAACCCUCCUCAUUAGGCUUGGCAACCGAGAUUUCAAAAAGGCCAUCAAUGGGGGCUAAAGUAUAGUAUGAAGCCUUCAAUUACCUCGUGCGAUUUUUUACCUUCCUCCCAUGAAGCCUAUCAAUUAGUCCCUGAGGAGUGUCACCAAUACUGAGGUCCACGGAAUUUUGUUUCGCUCAUGGGUAUUACCAUGAUGUUAAUGGUUUUAAUCGAUGAAGAUAAAACCACAAGACCACAGCUACAAGCUCUAUACCCAUGGUGUGGUGACACGACCAACCAAUAUACUAGAAACUGAUCACAAAUCCUAAUUCAAAACUCAAAAGGAUUAAACAAUAGAUAAAUUAGUCUACCGUUAGAAAAUAGUUCCGAGUUUUAAUACACAUUGGUCAAAAACUAAUUUUCAAUUCAACGAAAAACCAUUAACAAGUCAGAGUCUCGUGUCACAAAACUGCAUUUCAGGUAUUAGAAUUUCAGUCGGUAAACUCUCAAAGUGACUCGGUUCCAAAGAAAACAUAGCUUCCAGAAAAACUUCCAUCACAAACGCAUACUUCCUAGUUUUAACUAUUCUUCAGAAACUGGGCUAUCAAAAUUUCAAGAAAAUUUCUCAAUCAAAAAAAUCCAUCGACUUCUGACAAGUUUUUUUUUUUUUAAAACCAAGACCCUUCUAUUGUAAAGAUGGUAUAUCACAAACGCAUACUUCUUAGUUUAACUAUUCUUCAGAAACGGGGAUAUCAAAAUUUCAAAAAAAAAAAAACCAAAAACAAAAAUUCUCAAUCAAAAAAAUCCAUCAACGUCUGACAAGUUUUUUAAAUCAAGACACUUCUAUUGCAAAGAUUGUAUAUGUAGCUAGUAGAAAUCGUAGUAGUACUUAUUGCCGCAGAACCUGCAUCACGUAUACCUGCCAAAGGACUGCAUUAAACAAUUGAAUCAUGUUAUCAUCUAAAGAGAAAAGUCUAAGGUCUGAUGGUGCCCAAAUGUUUCAAACGAAACAUCACAACUCACAGAGCGCCAUUUGGGACCAGUUUCCAACUCACAAAAACAAUUUAAAAUUUCCAAUUUACGAUGCCAUAGAUUAAAAACAAAUUAUGCAAAACCAGGAAAAACAAUGAAGAGCACCGAUAAACAAAGUUAACAAUGAGCAGUUAAAAAAAUUACUACAUUAUCAAGUUCAUUUAAUCCGUAGGAUUUGGGAAAUUAAAAAAGUAAUUUUGUCCAACCCCGCUGACUCCAUAAAAUACAGAUAGAUUUAUAAGUAAUUUCUCAAACUCUUGAUCAAACAAGUCAAAUUAAAAGCUACAGCACUUUGAAGAACGCGAAAACAGAAAAGGAGAGAAAAAACAGAAAUAUAAUUUGAUAGUUUUAAGAUUCUGCUCUUUGUAGUAACCAUCAGCUCCUUUUAAACUUCAGAAGAAUCAGCAGACCAGUACAAAAAGACUGAUGCACCUAUGUGGGAUCUGCACAUUUAAUAAAAAUAUGUGAAAAAUAAUUUCAAAAGAGAAGGUUUUAGCACCCAAGAUACCUUUAAAAGGCAUACAAGUUAGAUUUCAAGUUCAAAAGGCGAACUGGUCUCAACAUUUAAAUUACACAUGGAAUGCCGAUAUGAACUUGCUGCAAAAACUCAGGUGAUUCACAAUACAUAAAUAUAACAACUUUGGAGAGAUCCAUUAUUAGGAGCUUGGUAAAAAAGGAGCCUUCAAAUGGUCAAACAAUUCUAAACACUUUGUUCAAAUAAUGCACCACUCAAUCAAAAUAAGCUUUAGAACUCAUGAGCGUUCGUUUUUUAGGUUUUAGAAUGGUUUAACAUGAGUACAAGCUCGACAUCCGAAUGUUUGGACUUUGGAUUGGUUUAAUGGAGCACAAAGUAAACGUCAGCAUUUGCAUUAAACCUCAAUAGUAGAUACUCCUCCGACUGAUAGAACAUAUGCACGACACAAUACAUGUCAAAAAGAGAACAUAUAGCAGGAUCUAUGCAAAAACCUAAAGAUCUAUAUAGUGGCAUGCCAAAAACCACCUUCCACAAAACAAGGUAUUCUCAUUAGUGACUCUUUACCCUGAAAUUCUGUAAUAUUUGACAGAACUAGAAUUGCAAUAGAUUUGGAGGCCAACAUAUCAAGCAAGUAACAGACACUAUCAAAUAGUUCAAGAAGGGCGAACCCAAGAUGUUCAAUUCAAAAGAAGGCAAGAGAAAAUUAUCUGUAUGGUCUAGAAGAACCCGGAAAAUACCAAUGGGUUGAAAUUAACCCACCCCAAAUUUUCAAUAUUGGUUUGUGCUGACUCCCAUAUAAGAGAUUCAGCGGCAGCUAGACAAUAUUAACAAAACCUUACAUAGUGGAGGGAUUUAUAGGCUUUUGAAAAGUCACUUAUUUGGUUCUUGAAAAUCAAUCUAAAUGCCAAAUUUACUGCCAUCUACCAAAAAGGAGUAAGUAUAGGAGUGGCUUGUUAUCAUUUUGGAUGAGAAUGACUCAAAUUAUCAAGUAAAAGAGCGAAUUUGUUAUACCUCAUGGGCACCUAAUGCCCCAUGUACGGAGCGCCACCAGAUUGCCCAACGCCAUGCUGCCCUCUUCCUGAACCACCUUGCCCUAACUGCGGGUUAGGGUAGCCACCUUGCAUUGCACCUUGAUUUCCAUAGCUUCCCAUCAUCCCAGGACUAAUACUUGCCUGAUUCCCAUAUCCACCCUGUAUCACAUGUCCUGCACCAGGAACACCUGGGUUCACAUUUGGAGCAGAUCCAAACGUCCCCAAAAGGUUUGUCAACCCCAAGCCAGCUCCCUGUGUUGCAAGCAAAGCAGUCAGUGCCUGCCCAAUUGCCGGGUUAAACGCCUGGGCUGCAGGAGCCCCCUGAUUAAAUCCAAUCCCUCCACUCGCAGGCGCCAUCAAAUGCCCCAUUCCUGAUGCAGCUCCACCUGCAUAACCUGGAUUCUCAUUCCUCUGAAACUUGGAAUUAUGUGACUUGUGGUGGUGCUGGUUCUGGUGCUGGUGCUGAGACUUGCCCGGCUUUGGACCGUCAAUAGCCUUCUGGCAAUGCAAAAUAUGGCCCUCAAAAUUCUUGUGUGGCUCUUCCAGAGCCCUCUUCGCACUCUCUGCCGACUUGUACACAAACAAGCAAAACCCCUUAGGCCUCCCCGUUAGCUUAUCGAGCCCUAGUGGCCCGUCCUCAACUUCUCCAAACCUAGAAAAGAACAUAAGCAGCUUCUGGAUAUCCAAGUCCGCCCCAACAUUGCUCACAUAGAUCUUCCUCUGAGUGUACUCAGACAUUGGCUGGGACUGAGCCGCCUGGGCCACCACAGGUCCAGCAGCGGCAUUAGGAGCCGGGCCAGGGCCAAUUGCCGCCAGCUGGCAUGCAGUCAUCCGAUUACCGAUCCUCUUCUGGGGCUGCUGUAGGGCUUUUCGGGCCCCAGAACGAGUCUUGAAGAGAAUGAAACCGUAACCCUUGGACUUACCAGAGACCUUAUCGCAAACAGCCUUGCAAUCCUCAAUCUCACCGUAUUCCCUAAAUACGCCAGUUAGGGUUUCGGCGUUGGUAUCCCAUCCGAGACCGUGGACGAAGAUCUUGCGGUGGAUUGGGUCCUCAUCCGCAACCUUCCGGAUCCGAUCCGCCACGUCGCCAUGAUUAUCGGCAGCUUCGCGGAGCAGGGCCAUAAGCUGUUCCUUGGUGAAUGGUUCUAGAAGAUUCUGGAUCGGCUCGUCCUCGUCGUUACCGGCACCGGCCUGAUCCGAAGCCGCUGAGAUGGAGGUCGUGGUUACGUUAUAGGUUUCCUUAUACUCAGCGCCCGGCUCCUCUUCGUCCUCCUCUUCUUCCUCUUCCUCUUCAUCGGCUCCUUCAUCUUCCUUCUCUUCUUCCGGCUCUUCCUCCUCCACCUCCUCUUCUUCGACUUCUUCUUCUUCCUCUUCGACUACUUCCUGUGCUGGUUCAAUUUGGGGUUUGGGUUCCUCAACGACCUGUUGUUGCUUCUUGGAGGGUUCGGAGGGCUCGGUGGAGCUGAGCUUUCUCUUUUUCGCCAUUAUAGGAGGGGAGCAGGGCGUCGCGGAUAGAGGGAUUUGGGGGUUAGGGUUAGGGUUUCUUUGAGGAGCUGCUGCGGCGCCCAAGUGAAAACACACAGGCACGCAGGAACUGAUUGGGAAUCGAGAGAGAGAGAGAGAGAGAGAGAUAGGAGAUGCGGGGUAAAGAUAUCGUCUAAUCUCUUUAGGUUAGGGGCACUUUCGUAUUUCUAGUCUAGGUAUCUUUAUCUUAUAUCUUAUGUAUUAGGGAAACGGAAAACUAAUGAAAACAUUCUAGAAAACUUUCAUUUAAUCAUAAGGACAAAUAAUUUCAAAAAUAGCCGCCCUUGCAAACUUUCUGAUAGAAAAAGAAAAAAAAAAAGUAUUUCAAUCUUCAACAUCCAUCAAAAGUCACAUGCUCUUCAUCAAAUCAAAUACAAAUGACAAAGUUAUGGGCUCCAGGAAACAAGUCAUGCACAAGUUGACAUGCAAAAUGAGACAACUAAGUUCACAUCCAUUCAUUAAAACAAGGCAAAAGAAGACAAAUAAGUCAGACCACGUUUUAGAAACAGUGCUGACAAUUUCAGCAACAGUAGAAGUAAAGUGACAAAUGACAAAUACCAAGGAUACGUCUACACAUUCAUUUGUAAAGAGUUUUAAUAUCAUAGUAUUCUCAUUCUGUAUUUAUAGGGAGAAUUCCUUUCAUUGUAAGGGCACACGAGAUACACACCAUACUCACACCAUACUUCAAUCCUCUUACACUCAAGCAUUCGAAACCUUCCUAGUAUCUUUUGUAAACACUUCUUUGUAAACACUUCUCUUUGUAAACAUUCUAUAUAUCAAUAAAAGUUCAAGUGUACAGAUUCAAGAAAUCUCCAAAUCUUAAAUAAGUUUUCUUUUUUUCUUUAGUAUGUUUGUUUAAUUAAGACGUCUAGUCCAAAAUAGGAAAACAUUAUUGCAGUUAUAUUAUUAACCUGCUAAACUAACGAUCAUAUUUUGUUCAAGCACUCUGUUAUAGUUGAAUGUUUACCAUACAAAUAACUAGGCAUUAACCAGGGUACCUUUGAGUUCAGCCGUUAAGGUCUUAUACCUGCAUUAUGAAUGGCCGUCAAGGUAUAAAUAUCGAUGAUAUCGGAAAUAUCGGUAGUCCAAAAACACGGAAAUUUCGAUGGAAAUAUCGGGAUAUUAUCGAUAUCGAUAAAAAUUGAAUAAAAACCACGGAAAUUGUAAGAAAAACUUGGAAAUUUUUAUUGAAACUUUGCAAGAUGUUUAUUUAGUCAAUUAUCUAUUAGUUUAUUACAAAAAAUUGGAAGGAAAUGCAUUGCAUGAUAGAUAUAACUGAUUUAAGUUGAUUAUAUAGCGAGCUGGCAAACAUUGUGAGUUUAGAAAAUAUGUAGUAAUUAAUAAAAGAAGUUUAAACACACCAUAAUUAUUUAUAUAUAAUGAAUUAGUACAAUAUUUUAUACUUUAUACAUUGCAUGGUAAGAUAUAUGAGUGACUUAGCAAUGUCUAAAAUAUCGAUGAUAUCAGAAAUAUUGGUAGUCCAAAAAAAUAUCGGUAGUCUAAAAACACGGAAAUUUCGAUGGAAAUAUCGGGAUAUUAUGGAUAUUUUAUACCAUGGUGGCCGUCAUGCUGAAACAUGUCGAGUUCCAUGUGCAAGGUUUUAUAUCUAGUUGUUAUAAUAGUCAUCCAACAAUUUAAUCGAGUCUGCUUAACGAAUUUGGUAUCUGAGCCAAGUUUAGCAUUUUAAUAGUAUAAUUAUAAUAGUAAAGUACCUUGAUGACAGAAGUCAUUAACACAACAUAUAUCACACUAGUUUAAAUUUUUAUGAAUAAGAGAUAUUAUUGUCCUUGUAGACUUUGUCAACCAUAACCAUCAAGUACUUAUUGUCCUAGACACCCAACUAUAACUAGCAUAAAGAGAAGAUUAACAUAUAUAUAUAUCCAAAAGAAUUAGCAGGACUUUGAAGAAGCAGAAGUUUUAUCUUAGUUAUCUUGAACAUCCUUCAUUUAUUAGUAAAUAUAAUAAUACAGAAGUGCAGCAAAAAGAGCAACAUGUCAAGUUUUAGAGACACUAAGAGAAGAAAAAGAAUUUCUAAGAAACCAAUUAGCCAUAACUUUAGAGAAAGGUAGACUGUAGUUUAUGAUAGAUUACCUUAAUUUAGAAAUUAGUGAACCUCAAAAAAGAAAAAUAACCUUAGACCAAAUUAGUUUAGUUUAUUAUUUUUCAUUGAGAAAGCAUAAUCAUAUUUUGCAUAGUAAAGAAAAUCCACAAGUCAAUAGUAUUGUAGAUCUUAUUAUUAGUCAAACAGAAAAUAUAAAAUUAGAAAAUAAUAGGCAUAAUCAUUUGUUAAACCAGUUGUUAGAGCAUUUUCUAAAAAAUUUCAUAAAAACAAUUAGACAAAAUUUAGAUUAUAUUACAUCUCAGUUAAGAGAUAAUAAUAAAAAUAUUCAAAGGUUUCCUAGCAAAAGAGAUAAAAUAGCUUGUUGACCUUAUAGAUAGUAAGCUUAAGCAAGUAGAACUCAGAUCAUUAGAAAUAGUUAAGCAGUUAAAAUUAGAAGUUCAAAAAAUUCAAUUAGUGCAAAAAGAGUUGAGUGAACAAGUAGAUAAGUUGCAUAAUAGAUAGAUUAUUAGUUUAAUGAUCAAUUCUAUAACUAGCAGAAAAUAUAUCCAAGUUUUAAAAGAAAUUAGUAAGCUAGAUAAAGAACCAGUAGGUUUAACAAAUUUUUCGACACAAGUAGCUAGUAAUAAUGUUGAUGCACAAAAUCAGUGAGGAUUUUGGUACAAUAGAAAGUGUUAAGUUUGUGAUCUUCGCUAGAUUGCUUCGGUCAUUAGUGUGGAUAAGUAUGUAAAUGGAUAGAGACAGGGAAGCAAACACAAAAUGUACGUGGUUCACCCAAAUUGGCUACGUCCACGGAGUAGAAGAAUUUUCAUUAAUUGUAAAGGGUUUACACAAGUACAUAGGUUCAAACUCUCCCUUUGCGAGUAUUAGUGAAUGAUUUAGUAUAAAUGACAUUAGGAAAUAUUGUGAUAGAAUGAUCUCUAUUUAUAGAAGAGAGUUUCUAGUUUCAUUCUGACAUUGACACAUGUCGUGUUGUGAUGGCUUCUGAUGUUGACACGUGUCGCGCUAUGAUUGGCUUCUGAUGUCGACACAUGUCGCGCUGUGAUUGGCCUUCUGGUUGGAGGGAAACUCUUCUGGGUCUUUGACGGUAUAACGUUGACCGGUGCUCAGUAGUUUCUGGAUUGGUCAAGUAUGGUACAAACAGUGAUUCUCUAAGUUCCCGAGUGAGGGAAGCUCCUCGGUUGGGGACUUGCAAGAUCCAAGUCAUUGAGUAAUCAUGAAACUUCUAAGUACCGAAGUACUUUUCCUCCAUCCAGGGAUGGUAUCUUUAACCGAUGAAGAUGCACAAGGUAAUGUAUCAAUUUCACUUGAAGCUUACUUGUAGUUUCAGGCUUGGUCAAGUGCGAUACAAACCUUAUAGUAGGAGUCCCCCAAGUCGCCGAGCUAGGAGAUUUACCGAAGAGGUAACAGACAAGGUAAGCAAUCAGACUUCCAAGCAAGUAACCUGGAUUGGAGGUUCGACUUCGGCUUCCGGUUGAUUGUUCUCCUUUUCUUUGUGUCGUAAACAUCAACAAGGAUAAUGAGAAGCAAAUGAAGAAGAGAUGAUAUGAGAUACUUUUACUUUUGAAGAAGUAACUUUCCACAGGCUUAUUCUUGAACUGGGCUGGAGGGUUUUUUGGUUUCCUCCAGAGUAUAAGGCCGACUCAAUAAUUUAAGGUUCAAAACAAGUCCAUCAAAUCUAGAGUACGUUUAACCCUGAUGAUAUGAGAUACUUUUACUGUUGACAAAGUAGUGAAUGUAUCGGCACGUGUUAUGUUAUGCUUGUCUCUACAUGCUUCCUUGUAUCAUUCUCACUUGCCCUAUCUGUUCCUCAGGCAGAUGUGGUAUCUUCUCUGGAAGCAUAAGAUGUUGAAGAUGAGUACUCGAGAGCAAUGCCAGGUAAGUAAUCAGGCAAGGGGUUCCAGGCAGUCAGUUCCUGACUGGAAGCUUGAUUCCAAGUGCUGAUUGAUUGCUCUCUUUCUCUUUGUCUUGCAGGUAAGAACAAGGCCAAAGGAAAAGACAGGGAAAAAGCAUGAUAUGAGAUACUCUUACUUUUAACCCUGAUGAUAUAAGAUACUCUUACUCUGGUGUGGCUUGUUUGUAGAGGUAUUAUCGGGAGGAAAAAAAACUGAGUAUUUUGAGAGACUCUGCUAAGAGUGCCCUCUCGGAUGUGAAGAAAAGUUGAGUAUUUUUUUUAUUUGCAGGUCUGCCUAGUUGUGGAGGAUGAAGGUCGACAUAUAUAGGAGUCUCCCUAACAACAAGUAAUAGUGUUAUUCAUUUACUCUUCUUGGUCAUAGCAAUGUAGUGGGAGCUGCAAGCUUCACGUGUUUUAACUUUGUCAGAGCACUUUGAAAAAGUGGUAUGUGGUAUCUAAAAAGCUGAUGUUGCAUGUGAAGAUUGCAGACAAGUUUUAUCCAAGGAAAUCUGGCUCUUGAAGUUUGGAGAGCGGUGCCUCUUCGGUUUUCAAACAAGCAAUUCUGUCGAGGAUCUGGCUCUCAAGAUUCAGAGAACGAUGCCUCUUUGAUUUUUGAGAAAGCAAACAUGUUGGGAGUCUGACUCUUGAGAUUCGGAUAGUAGUGUCUCUUUGAUUUUUGAGAAAGUAAUCCUGUUGGGAGUCUGGCUCUCGAGAUUCGGAGGGCUGUGCCUCUUUGAUUUUUGAGCACGUAAUCCUGUUGGGAGUCUGGUUCUCGAGAUUCAGAGAACGGUGCCUCUUCGAUUUUUGAGAAAGUAAUCAUGUUGGGAGUCUGACUCUUGAGAUUCGGAGAGCAAUGUCUCUUCGAUUUUUGAGAAAGUAAUCCUGUUGGGAGUCUGGCUCUCGAGAUUCGAAGGGCGGUGCCUCUUCGAUUUUUGAGCAUGUAAUCCUGUUGGAAGUCUGGCUCUCAAGAUUCGGAGAACUGUGCCUCUUCGAUUUUUGAGCAAGCAAUCUUGUUGGGAGUGUUUUCUCGAAUAUGAGUAAAGGUUGGGCAUUUUUGCCAGUCUGCCUUGCCACGGAGCACGGAGGUUGACACACAUUGGAACGUUUUAGUUAUCAAGCAGUGGUGCUGUUCCUUUACCCUUGUGGGUAAUAAUAGGGUAGCUGGACUUUCAAAAUUUAUGUGUCUAAACUUUGUCAGAGAUCUUUGGCAAAGUUAUCUAUGGUACCUGAGGAGCUGAUGUUGCGUGUGGAAAGUGGUGCCUCUUCGGAAUCCGGAGAGUGGUGCCUCUUCGAUUUUUGAACCAACGGUCAUGUUGCCCUUUCUUUUGUAAGGGCACCAAUUGUGUGCAAGAAGUACAUUAAGAGAGUUAUUGCUUGUAGGAAUUUUUCCCUUACUUCAGAGAUAUAUUGCAUCUCAUUUCUCCUUCAUCAUUUCUGAGAAUGUCUGACCCAUCCGACCGUCGUUUUGACUUGAACUUUGGUGAAGAGGCAGUCAUGCCUUCUCAAGACAACAUAUGGCGCUCAUUCUUCUUAUCCUCUACUGGUCAUCUUACCGUUGGGGACUCUAUGAUGAAGAAUGAUAUGACUGCUACGGUGUUGGCCAGGAACAUUCUCUCCCAAAGAUAACAGACUACUUUCCAAAUGGUCUGAUGAGUUGGCUGUUAAGGAUUCUCUGACUUUCAGUGUUCAUUGUGCAGGUUCUAUGUCUAAUAUGGCCCAACGCCUAUUUGCUCGAACCCGCCAAGUUGAAUCUUUGGCGGCUGGAGUGAUAAGUCUCAAACAAGAUAUCAGAGGGCUCAAGCAUAAGAAUAAACAGUUGCACAGGCUCGCACAUGACUAUGCUACAAACAUGAAGAGGAAGCUCGACCAGCUGCAGGAAUCUGAUGGUCAGAUUUUACUUGAUCAUCAGAGGUUUGUGGGUUUGUUCCAAAAGCAUUUAUUGUCUUCGUCUUCUGGGGCUGUACGGCGUAAUGAAACUCCAAAUGAUCAACCUUCGGUGUCUCAUUCUUCUGGGGUUCUGCCUAAUACUGAGGCUCCGAAUAAUCACCCUCUGGUGCCUCCUCUUUCUAGGGCUCUGCCGACUGCUGAGACUUCUCCUGAGCAACCUUUGUGAAAGCUCCCUCUUGUUUGUUUAUUUUGAUUCAUGUAUAUGUAUAUAUUUGUAACUUAUCGGAGAUAUCAAUAAACAAGCUUUGCUUCAUUUCAACGUAUUAUGUUAAAUACACUAAGGCCUUUUUCACUAAGUUCUUUGAAUUUUUCCUUUUGUUGAAACUUGUAUGUUGAAUCUUUGUGAGUGAAGCAUGUAGGUUGAGGUAGUGCUCCCUUAAUUUCCCGAGUGAGAAAAACUUCUCGUUGGGAGACUUGAAAAAUCCAAGUCACUGAGUGGUCGUGAGACUUCCGAGUAUCAAGGUGCAGUAGCAUAUGGUAGAAGUCCCCCAAGUCUUUGGUCGAGGGGAGUUGACGAAUGAGGCAUUUCCUUUCUAAGUGGUAGCCCAAAACUCAUUCUUCAUAUUUAUUUGUUAUGAAAGUUGUUAGGCCCAAAGAAGAUGAGGCAUAGGCAAUUUUUUUUUUCGAUUUUUUUUUUUCGAUUUUUCGAAAAAAAAAAAUAUAUAUAUAUAUAUAUAUAUAUAUAUAUAUAUAUUAAAGUUUUAUAGGUGAAACUUUGGUGUUGAAGCUUUGUAGGUGAAGAUUUGAGGUUGACGCUUUGUUGGGUACCAUGAAUUGAUUUUGCUUCACAUUAUCUUGAUCAAGAUAGUGUGAAGCUUUUGUAGGUGAAUUUUUUGUGUUAAAACUUUGUAGGUGAAGCUUUUGUGGUGGGUGAAGCUUUUGUUGGUGAAGCUUUUAUGGGUGAAGCUUUUGUGGGUGAAGUUUUUGUGGUGGGGGAAGCUUUUGUGGUGGGGAAAGCUUUUGUGGGUGAAGUUUUUGUUGAUGAAGCUUUUAUGGGUGAAGCUUUUGUGGGUGAAGCUUUUAUUGGUGAAGCUUUUGUGGGUGAAGCUUUUAUGGUGGGUGAAGCUUUUGUGGUGGGUGAAGCUUUUAUGGGUGAAACUUUUGUGGUGGGUGAAACUUUUGUUGAUGAAGCUUUUAUGGGUGAAGCUUUUGUAGGUGAAUCUAUUAUGGGUGAAGCUUUUAUAGGUGAAGCUUUAGAGUUGAAGCUUUGUAGGUGAAGCUUUGGAGUUGAAGCUUUUGUUGGGUACCAUAAAUUGAUUUUGCUUCACACUAUCUUGAUCAAGAUAGUGUGAAGCUUUUGAGAAUUUGUAGUUGUCCUCCAUUGAUGAAGCUUUUGUUGGUGAAGCUUUGGAGUUGAAACUUUUGUUGGGUACCAUGGAUUGAUUUUGCUUCACACUAUCUUGAUCAAGAUAGUGUAAAGCUUUUGAGAAUUUGUAGUUGUCCUCCAUUAAUGAUGCUUUUGUUGGUGAAGCUUUGUUGGGUAUCACGAAUUGAUUUUGCUUAACACUAUCUUGAUCAAGAUAGUGUGAAGCUUUUGAGAAUUGUGGUUGAACUCCUUUGAUGAAGCUUUUGUUGGCACCAUAAAUUGGUUUUGCUUCACACUGUCUUGAUCAAUAGCAUGUGAAGUUUUUGAGAAUUGUGGUUGCCUUUGCCCUCCAUUGAUAAAGCUUUUGUUGGCACCAUAAAUUGGUUUUGCUUCAUACUGUCUUGAUCAAGAGUGCGUGAAGCUUUUGAGAAUUGUGGUUGAACUCUUUUGAUGAAGUUCUUGCUGGCACCAUAAAUUGGUUUUGCUUCACAUUGUCUUGAUCAAGAGUGUGUGAAACUUUUGAGAAUUGUGGUUGCUCUCCAUUGAUAAAGCUCUUGUUGGCACCAUAAAUUGGUUUUGUUUCACACUGUCUUGAUCAAGAGUGUGCGAAGCUUUUGAGAAUUGUGGUUGAACUCCUUUGAUGAAGCUCUUGUUGGCACCAUAAAUUGGUUUUGCUUCACACUGUCUUGAUAAAGAGUGUGUGAAGCUUUUGAAAAUUGUGGUUGCCCUCCAUUGAUGAAGCUCUUGUUGGCACCAUAAAUUGGUUUUGCUUCACACUGUCUUAAUCAACAGUGUAUGAAGCUUUUGAGACUUGUGGUUGAACUUCUUUGAUGAAGCUCUUGCUGGCACCAUAAAUUGGUUUUGCUUUACACUGUCUUGAUUAAGAGUGUGUGAAGCUUUCUACGAGUUGUAGUGUUUGCAUUGUUACAGAAGGGAAAUGUUUGAAGCAGAUGUAAGAGGGCUGAAUAGCUUGAUCUUCGUAUGCCAUGCACUGAAGUUGUUGUUGGCUUGCAAUAAGACUUUGUUGGUGACUAUAACUCUUGUUGGGCAUAAAUGUUCCCCUAGUUAAGUUGUCAAGCUUGAGGGUUUUUGAUUAUUUGUGAAUGCUAGGAGUUCACAUGUGCAAGUUGUACCACUCGUCUUCUGGUAAGUGGAAUGAAUGGUGAGUUGCUUUCAUUACUUGGUUAGUGGUACGAAAGUGAGUUCCUUCAUCACCUUUCAUCACAUUUUAGCACCUGGUUGGUAGCACGAGGAUGAGUUUCUUCUUCCUCUGGUUGGUGGCAUAAAUGGCAAGUUGCCAAAUGAUAUUAGAGUACGGGUUGUACAUUUCAUCACCUGGUUGGUGGCAUGAAGAAGAGUACGGGUUGUACAUUUCAUCACCUGGUUGGUGAGAAUAAGGGCAAGGUGUCUAGGCACAUUGUAGCAAGUGUCGAAUGACACAAAGUAUGUUGAACCAUUUCAAAGCACAGUUGGCUUAUGUAUGAAUGUGUUGGAAUGUAUGAUUGAAUGAAUAUACUGUGAAGCUGCUCGUUUAUUUGUAUAGUCUUGUUGACAUAUACUUAGACUUUGUUUCAUGUUGAAGUUUUGAACCCGAGCGUUUCACUGCUAGGAAUGUAAGAGGAUUAGGACCGAGUUGUCUAAAUCACAUCGUUAUUGAAUUAACACUUGUACAAUGUGAAUUUACUUGUAAUAGUACUUCAAGUGAUCAGCGUUCCAUGGAUGGCCAAAGGUCUUGCCAUCGGAGCUUCUAAACUUGUACGAGUCAAGGCGACUUAUGCCAACAACUUCAAACGGUCCAUCCCAGUUUGGACUAAGUGUUCCUUCACUCUGGACUCUGUCAUAGAGUAAUCUUUUCUUCAAUACCCAGUCCCCCACUUUGAAAGAACGAGGUUUAACCCUUGAGUCAUAGUAGUUAGAGAUGCGCUGCUUGUAGGCAACAUUCCUCAAGUGAACCUAGUUUCUGUGUUCCUCGACUAGAUCUAAGUUAAGGGUAAGUUGUUUGUCAUUUUCGCUUUACACGUAGUUCUAGACUCGAAACGUUGCUUGCUCAAGCUCAACUGGAACAACUGCCUCUGUACCAAAGGUAAGUGAGAAUGAGGUUUCUCCUGUUAAUGUCCAAUACAAAGUGCGGUAUGACCAAAGAACUUGGGGUACAAAUUCUGGCCAACAACCUUUAGCCUUGUCCAAGCUGGUUUUUAGAAUUCGCUUUAUUAUUUUGUUGAUGACUUCAACUUGUUCAUUAGAUUGGGGAUGAGCUGGGGAGGCAAAACAUAAGUUGAUGUUGAACUUAGAGCAGAACAUCCUGAACUUAUUGUUGUCGAACUCUCGCCCGUUGUCAGUGACUAUCACAUUGGCAAUGCCGAAUCUGCAAAGGAUGUUCUUCCAUACAAAGUCUUCUAUUUUUACCUCAGUAAUGGUUGCCAAGGUUCUACUUCGGCCCACUUUGUGAAGUAGUCAACUGCAACAAUUGUAUAACAAACCUUGCCCUUCCUUGCAGGCAUUGGGCCGAUCAAAUUAAGUCUCAUUGGGCGAAGGGCCAAAGGUUGAUCAUAGGAGUGAGCGGCUCAGGAGGAGAGUGAGGAAUAGUUGCGUACGUUGACACUUAUCACAUGAGCGAGAUAUUCUGAUGGCAGCUAAGGAUCGAGAUCCAGCAUGAUCUCUGCAGACUCCUUCAUGUAUUUCCCGAAUGACAGUUUCCGUCUCUACGGAUGUAAGGCAUCUUAGGUAUGGUAGGUUAAAACCCCGCUUGUAGAGUUGGUCAUUAAUAAUUAAGUAACGGAUAACCUUGUAUCAAAUCUGCUUAGCUUGGACUUUGUCAUUUAGAAGGGUGCCACGAGUAAGGAAUCUAUAAAUCGGGGUAAUCCAACAAUCCCCCUAUUGUAAGUUGCACACUUUCACAGCCAUGGUGCUUGGUGUUGCCAACAAUUCGACCUGAAUUUUUCUCCCAAUCUUGUCUUCCACCGCUGAGGCGAGGCGAGCCAAAGCAUCUGCAUGACUGUUUGCCGCUUGAGAAAUUUGGGUGAUCUGGUAGUGGAAGUGUUUGAGCAAAAAUUGUGUUUGUGCCAGAUAUGCUGCCAUGGAGCUAUCCUUAGCGUCAAAGUUGUUGGUGACCUGGUUAACCACCAAUUGGGAGUACUGAAGAUAUCAAUUCGUUUAACCCCAAAGUGUUUGGCCAAACGUAAGCCUGCUAGGAGGGCUUCAUAUUCGGCCUCAUUGUUCGACGCCUUAAAUUUGAAACGAAGAGUAUACUUUAUCGCCACUUUGUCAGGGGUCGUAAGGACUAGUCCUGCUCCAUAACCCUGUUGGUUGGAUGAGCCAUCAACAUAUAGACUCCAUGUUAGGGUUGUUGGUUCUAUUUUUUGAGCUUCCAAGGGUAAUGAAACCACUUGUUUAGGCAUAGAAACAAUGUCAACAGGAUAUGUGAAGUCGGCGAUAAAGUCUGCCAUUGCUUGGCACUUCUCAACUGGCUUUGGUUGGUAAGAGAUGUCAAACUCACCCAAUGCUAUCGCUCAUUUGAUCAUUUGCCCGGAAGUGUCAGGACUUUGAAGUAUCUGUCGAAGAAGAUGAUUGGUAAGCACGAUGAUGGAGUGUGCUUGGAAGUAAGGGCGAAGUUUUCGAGUAGACAUGGCCAAUGCUAGAGCCAAUUUCUCAAUGUUAGAGUAUCGUGUCUCCACAUCUUGUAAGGCUUUGCUAACGUAGUAGAUAGGUCGUUCGACAUUACCAUCCUUUAAAAUAAGAACGAAACUUACUGCUAAAGUCGAUACCGACAGAUAGAUAAUGAGAGUGUCAUUAACCUCAGGUUUGGAGAGCAGAGAGGCUUUACUCAUGUAGUCUUUGAGGUUCUUGAAUGCCUCAACACAUUCAUCAGUCCAUGUAAUGAACUUCUUAAUUCCCUUAAGUGCUUUGAAGAAAGAAGCACAUCUGUCUGUGACCUUAAAGAUGAUCCUAGUUAAGGCUGCCACUUUGCUAGUAAGGCUUUGGAUGUCUUUUGAAGUUAUCGGUUUCUUCAUGUCAAUGAUUGCUUUAAUCUUCUCGGGAUUAGCCUCAAUGCCUCGUUGGCUUAUCAUGAAGCCUAAGAAUUUGCUAGAACCUACGCCGAAGGCACAUUUGUUGGGGUUCAACCUCAUUCGAUACCUCUUAAGAAUGGUGAAAGUUUCAGAUAGGUUGGUGAUGUGUUGGUCAGCAUGUUUGCUCUUGACUAACAUAUCAUCAAUGUAAACGUCCAUGCUCUUCCCAAUCUGUUCGGCGAACAUUAAAUUGACCAGUCUCUAAUAAGUUGCUCCUACAUUCUUUAGGUCGAAGGGCAUGACUUUAUAGUAAUAUAGUCCCUUGUUAGUAAUGAAAGCUGUGUGUUCUUGGUCUUGAGGGUUUAUGUGGAUUUGGUUGUAACCUGAGUAAACAUCCAUGAAGCUUAAAAGUUCACACCCUGCCGUAGAGUCUAUAAGUCUGUCAAUGAGAGGAAGAGGAAAGCUAUCAUUCGACCAUCCUUUAUUUAGGUCGGUGUAAUCGACACACAUUUUCCACAAGACCUUUUGGAGUAUGAGACUUUCAUUGGUCGGAUUCUUCUUAACAAAGACAACAUUUGCUACCCACGUUGGAAAAUUGACUUCACGGACGAAGCUUAUGCCUUUGAGUUUUUCAACUUCUGCCUUCAUUGCCUCGUACUGUUCAACGUCAUAAGAUCUUUGCUUCUGUCUCACUGGCUUGGUCUUGGGGUCAAUACUUAAGCGAUGACAAAUGAUAUUGGGAGAGAUGCCUGGCAUGUCCUCUUAUGACCAAGCGAAGACCUCAGUGUUCUCUUACAAAAAAAAGAUCAAUGUCAACCGAAUGAGUGAUGACAAGGUGGUGCCAAUCUUCACCAUGCGAUCCAGAUAAUCUUUUGAGAUAGAGACCUUCUUCAACUCUUCAAUGGGUUGUUCUUGCUGGGUGAAAGAGUCAUCUCGAGGAUCGUUGGGUUGAUUGUUGCCACCGUGAAGAUCCAAGUUGACUUCGUCAGGGCUGGUCUUUAUGACUUGGUCAUGUAUAGAAAGGGUUUCCUUAGGCACAAACAAGUGCUGACCGAAGUGUUGUAACAUGAUCGUGCACUAAAUUGAUCUCCUCUAAUGUAACCAUUGCCAUAGGGGGUUGGAAAUUUCAUCAACAACAUAUGUGUGGAUACCAUGGCCUUGAGAUCAUUGAUGUCUGUGCGUCCGAAGAUGACAUUGUAUGUUGUUGGGCAAUCAACCACCAGGAAGUUAGUGGUAAUGGUAACUGUGUAAAGGUCUGUACCAAUGGUGAAAGGUAAGUGUAUGCUCCCUAAAGGUUGCACGAUAUCACCGGAGAAGCUUAUCAGAGGGGAAAUCGAGCGAUCGAGCAAGUGUUCAGCUACAUUAAGUGCCCUGAAAGCUUAGCAAACAUGACAUUGACCGAAGCCCCCGUGUCUACCAGGAUUCGUCGUACUUCAAAGUUGGCUAUGUGAGAUUCCACAAUCAGUGGGUUGUUGUAAGGGUAAAUGAUACCUCUUUCUUCCUCAGGGUAGAAACAUAUUGGAUCCCAGUUAAGAUCCCAGUUAGGCUUUUGAUACUUACCUCCCCUAAUGUCUUCCACGUGAAACACUUGGUGGCCAGACCUUAAAACUCGUUCACUAUUUUUCAUGGCCCUAUUGGAAGAUUUAAAUGUGGGUGUGCCACCACUUAUGAAAUAUAUCACAUUCACUUGGCGUUGGUUACAGUUACCCAUUGGAGGGUGAAUAAGGAAUUGAUCAAUUUUUCCUUCACGUGCCAAAGCUUCAAUAUGAUCACGAAGAGUGAUACACUUCUCGCCGUCAUGGCCGUUAUGCUCGUGGUAGCAGCAAAACGUGCCCGUGUUCUUCAUGGGCUUGUAAUCCGGGUGCCUCGACUUUGACUUCGGUAUCAGGUGUGCUAUGCUGGGGUAAAUGGCCAUGCAUAUGGCGUUCAAAAGUGUGUAUGUCUUAUACCUCGGGGUAGGGGUUGUCCUGCCACGUGCUUGACCCACUGUGUUGACUGCCUGGGGUCGGGGAUUAUCAUGGCGAUACCCUUAGUUAUCACGGUAGUGUCCCUUACUCCUUUUACUAAAAUGAGACUAGUGUGGAUGAAAAUCUUUCUUUUUGCCCUGAGAUUGAUAUGCCUAUUGACUUGGCAAAGUAUUAAGUAAGGCAUGGGGAGGCACCGCUGCUGUUUGGAAGGUCGAGGUCUUUUCAUUUGGUUGGAUUUGGCUUUCAUUCCCUACUUGCUGAUAAGGGGUGGUUGUGGGGGGUUUCCCUUGAUAUGUAAUUUCCUCGGCGGAUGCAUGGUUGUAAGCCUAUGCCAUCACCUCAGAGUAAGUCUUCCAAGUGUUGGCAUUGAUCAUGUACUUGAAGAAACAAUCACGUAGGCCUGUCGUGAAGGCCUUGAGGGCGGUCUUGUCAUCUGCCUCAGUGCAGCGAGAAUACUCAUGGCUGAAAUGACCAGCAUACUCUCGUAGUGACUCGUCUGGCUUUUGGCGAAUAAGGUACAAGUCAUCUGCAAAAUGCAAGUGCUCGGUCUGGAAGAUGUGUUGAGAGACAAACAGUUUCCUCAUUUCCUCAAAUGAGUCUACUGUCUCAGGUGGAAGACGGCAAUACCAGUUUAGAGCUCCGCCAGAGAGGGUGGAAGGGAAGAGAAGACAUCGUUCUUCGUCGGUGUGCAUCCGAUAUGCCAUGGUGAACUCAAAGAGGUUAAGGUGUUUAAUUGGGUCAUCCCUUCCCGUAUAGAGUUGUAAACCAAGCUUUUGUUUUGUCUUCGCUUGAAGGGGGUGUCGAGGAUCCUCCUUGUAAGAGGGCCAGGCCUAGGUUGGUUCCAAUCAGGUAUCUCAGCUUGUCGUUCGGCCUUCAACUUGUUUACUUCCUUAAAAAACUGUAGGACAAGAGGGUUCUGAGUGAAGUCACGUACCACUGGAGCUUUCUUUCGUAAAUCUCCAUAUCCUCUUGGAAGUAUGAAGGUUUGAUCAAGAG